CACCGAAUCCAAACAGGCCAGUUACGACUGUUGGCUGACGGUUGAUGCGUCAGAAUCGUAUUAGUUUGAAAUGUGACUUUAUCCUCUGCUACUUGUACACUCUUGGGCAAUUACUUAUCUUCAAUUCUCAGAUGAUAAUAGGGUAUCCUACAUGAUAAGAUUGCUGUAAAGAUUAAAAGGAACAAUGUCUGCAAUGGGGUUGGCACUGUGGAUGAAAAAGAGAAAGCACUCUGUGAUGGCUGUGAUGAUGAUGCAGCCAGCUAACACCAGGAAAUAGCAUGUUAACACAAACUAAGCCCCUCCUCCUCCAGGGCUCUGCUCAGUUCAAGGUUCUUGGAUUCAGCUUAAGCACAGCUCUCCUGUUGCUAUGUGCACCCAGCCUCAGGACAAGAAUACCUAACUUGGCUUCUUGCUACUCUGGUCCCAGACCAUUCAUGUUAUUUGGAGGAAGCAUUGUUGGAGACCUCCUUUAAUUAUGAGAUGAGUGAUAAUUCAAAGAAUGUGCAUUAUGAAGAAUAUGCUUUUCUGUAUUGAGAAGGUCCCUCCAUCCUAGUCAACUUUAUUUUGAAAGCAGAAUUCUUUUGCUCUUCAAAAGGCUCCAAUUCCACUUCAACCAUAAUCACUGUAAAAACACUGCUUAGUGAAUAAAAUAUGGUCAAAUCUAA